rnacentral:rRNA from 1 species
AGAGUUUGAUUCUGGCUCAGAUUGAACGCUGGCGGCGUGCUUAACACAUGCAAGUCGAACGUGAAAGUCCUUCGGGGCGAGUAAAGUGGCGCACGGGUGAGUAACGCGUGGAUAAUCUACCCUUAAGAUGGGGAUAACGGCUGGAAACGGUCGCUAAUACCGAAUACGCUCCCGAUUUUAUCAUUGGGGGGAAAGAUGGCCUCUGCUUGCAAGCUAUCGCUUAAGGAUGAGUCCGCGUCCCAUUAGCUAGUUGGCGGGGUAACGGCCCACCAAGGCAACGAUGGGUAGCCGGUCUGAGAGGAUGACCGGCCACACUGGAACUGGAACACGGUCCAGACUCCUACGGGAGGCAGCAGUGGGGAAUAUUGCGCAAUGGGCGAAAGCCUGACGCAGCGACGCCGCGUGAGGGAUGAAGGUUCUCGGAUCGUAAACCUCUGUCAGGGGGGAAGAAACCCCCUCGUGUGAAUAAUGCGAGGGCUUGACGGUACCCCCAAAGGAAGCACCGGCUAACUCCGUGCCAGCAGCCGCGGUAAUACGGAGGGUGCAAGCAUUAAUCGGAAUCACUGGGCGUAAAGCGCACGUAGGCGGCUUGGUAAGUCAGGGGUGAAAUCCCACAGCCCAACUGUGGAACUGCCUUUGAUACUGCCAGGCUUGAGUACCGGAGAGGGUGGCGGAAUUCCAGGUGUAGGAGUGAAAUCCGUAGAUAUCUGGAGGAACACCGGUGGCGAAGGCGGCCACCUGGACGGUAACUGACGCUGAGGUGCGAAAGCGUGGGUAGCAAACAGGAUUAGAUACCCUGGUAGUCCACGCUGUAAACGAUGGGUGCUGGGUGCUGGGAUGUAUGUCUCGGUGCCGUAGCUAACGCGAUAAGCACCCCGCCUGGGGAGUACGGUCGCAAGGCUG